rnacentral:rRNA from 1 species
GUGCCAGCAGCCGCCGCGGUAAUACGGAGGGUGCGAGCGUUAAUCGGAAUUACUGGGCGUAAAGGGCGCGUAGGCGGCUGAUCAAGUCAGGUGUGAAAGCCCACGGCUUAACCGUGUGAAGUGCAUCUGAAACUGGUCGGCUUGAGUAUCGGAGAGGAAAGUGGAAUUCCCGGUGUAGAGGUGAAAUUCGUAGAUAUCGGGAGGAAUACCGGUGGCGAAGGCGACUUUCUGAACGAAUACUGACGCUGAGGCGCGAAAGCGUGGGGAGCAAAUAGGAUUAGAUACCCUAGUAGUCCACGCC